UGAUUCUUUACUUUUUUAGUUCUUACGCAUGUGCAUAUUACGGGAGACCAUGUAAAUUGUUUUGAAUCUUGGGGUAAAUAUUCAUUCAGUAAAAGUGCAUUAAUUUCUUGAUGGUAAUGCGCCUGCGCAUAGAAAAUCUGCGAGAACUACCAACAUAAUUUCAGUGCGUUACAAUACAAUUUUAGCUUUAUUGAAGGGACACAUCGAAAACAUUCUAGAUGGAAUACGAUAUAUGUGGGAUAUUGUUGAAAAGACUCAUUCGCAGCAUGCCGAAAGGUGUAGCCGAGUUCGAGUAUGUAAAUUUGCAGAGUGGAUCUGUAUACUAUUGAUCAAAUUGGCUGUUACACUGAGUUGAAUUUUUAAUUAUUCGUAAGCAGAAUUCUUAGAAGAAAUUAAACCCUAGUAAAUUGGCAAUUCAUUUGGGUGUGCCAAAGAGUACGAGGUAACAUUUUAAUGUCUGUUACAUGUAAUAGCAUUUCCUCUGACAUUUGUGUUAUUAGUGUCGGUUUAAAAAUUAAUUGUGGUAAAUAUUUCUUAUUGUAAUCAAAUUUUCACAUACAGAUUGUCAUAGUUUUCUGUUAUGUUAUGUUAUGUUAUAUAAAGAGGAAAUGUCAAUCGUGGGGCAAUCGUGGAGUCUAGGUAUGAUUCACGGAUCGCACAGUGAAAUAUGGGAUUCGGCGUACUGCACAAAUCGACGUCCCUGCUAGAUACGGGCAAUUCGUGCAUCAGCUUAAAUAUCAAGUAAAUUCACUCCCGUUAACUAACCAAAGGUUUCAAUGACCGGAAGACUGAUAACACACCAGAGGACGCGCAACGAUAGUCGUUGGCAUGUGUGCAUAAUAGCAUACCCCAAUUAAAAUAUAUUCCAAAUAAAUCAACGAAUAUAACAGAAUACCGCAACGCAGCAUCGCUUUGUUACAAAUGUCCCGUAUACUCACAACGACAGCACUGUAUCGCACUUUUCUGGAAACUAGUCUGGUUGCGUACAACCGACGUGAACAUUUUGGUAUUUGCAAAAUAGUGCAACAGUUCCUUUGAUGCGAUGCGGAAAACCGACAACCUGUGGAACCUUUCAAACUACCGUGACUUAAGUAUGUUACACAUCGGAGCUGUUGUUCUGUUACAUGUGUGUAUUUAUAAAUACAUCUGUUCAGUUUUUCUUAAA